GAUGAAGAACGCAGCGAAAUGCGAUAAGUAAUGUGAAUUGCAGAAUUCCGUGAAUCAUCGAAUCUUUGAACGCACAUUGCGCCCUUUGGUAUUCCAAAGGGCAUGCCUGUUCGAGCGUCAUUUGUACCCUCAAGCUUUGCUUGGUGUUGGCGUCUUGUCUCUAGCUUUGCUGGAGACUCGCCUUAAAGUAAUUGGCAGCCGGCCUACUGGUUUCGGAGCGCAGCACAAGUCGCACUCUCUAUCAGCAAAGGUCUAGCAUCCAUUAAGCCUUUUUUUCAACUUUUGACCUCGGAUCAGGUAGGGAUACCCGCUGAACUUAAGCAUAUCAAAGCGGAGGA
rnacentral:misc_RNA from 1 species